GCUUCGUACUGAUAUAUAGAAUGUCGACAUUUUGAAUUUCAGCAUGGUAAAGAUAUUCAUCAAAGGCAUAUUUGCCGUCAUCCAAACAACUUAACAUAUAUUUUCCGAGCGACUCGUAGGGUUUAAAUGGUACAAUUAGACCUCCAAAUUCAACAUAUCUUGGCACACGUACUUUAUCAAUUUCAGGAUUAGUACGAACAUCGGUUGAGUUACGAAUGCCUUCACUCACGUUGCUGGUCAUAUCAAGCAAUCCUAUAGCAGGUUUGGUAGCUAAACCAAGCAUACCCUUGCCAAAUCCCUUCAAAAAUUUGCCAGCACUGUUGUUUUUUGGAUCCGUAAAUGGCUUUUUGAGACCUUUGAAUCCACUAGACAUGCUGUCGUAAAAGCUGUUAGCUCCAGCGGUUACGCCAUAUACAGCUUCUUUUGGCCUAUUUCUUGAACGAAACCGUCUUCUAGAAUUUUGAUAUUUUGGAUCCAUAGUCAUAGUUGAAAGACCUUUAGAAAUCGUCCCAGUAAUCUUUGAUACACUAUCUGAAACACCAUAAAUAGUUUUACGCAUGAAACUAGAUGUUCCACGAGCAAAUGAAUCACCGAAUGAUUGCGAAUCUUGUAACAAAAACCCCUGAUAGGGUUCAUAAAA